UACGUAGGUGGCAAGCGUUGUCCGGAAUUAUUGGGCGUAAAGCGCGCGCAGGCGGUCUUUUAAGUCUGAUGUGAAAGCCCACGGCUCAACCGUGGAAGGUCAUUGGAAACUGAAAGACUUGAGUACAGAAGAGGAAAGCGGAAUUCCACGUGUAGCGGUGAAAUGCGUAGAGAUGUGGAGGAACACCAGUGGCGAAGGCGGCUUUCUGGUCUGUAACUGACGCUGAGGCGCGAAAGCGUGGGGAGCAAACAGG
rnacentral:rRNA from 1 species